AUCUGGAUAGCUCAAUUGGUAGAGCGUGAGACACUUAAUCUCAGGGUCGUUGGUGUGAGCCCCUUCCAACUCUGCAAU